AUGCGACAGCCGCAACUUCGUUUCUAAGCUAGGAACCAAUCAGCCUGACUGAUGGAGGCGGAAGGGGCGUGCCUUCAGGUUCCGUUUCCGGUAGCGAGCGGUGCUCGGGGAAGCGGAGUAGCAGAGUAGGCACGAUGUCCGGUCGCGAGGGUGGUAAGAAGAAGCCUCUGAAGCAGCCGAAGAAGCAGACCAAGGAAAUGGACGAGGAAGAUAUAGCUUUCAAACAAAAACAAAAAGAAGAACAGAAAAAACUGGAAGAAUUAAAAGCAAAAGCUGCUGGGAAGGGACCACUUGCCAGUGGUGGGAUUAAGAAAUCUGGCAAAAAAUAGAAGUUCCUGUGUAGAUAAGAUGGUGAUUCCUGGUUUCUUUCUUGUUUUGUGACAUCUGCAUUUCCUACUUCAACAUCUGUUGCCACCUUUCAGCCAAGAUUAAGUGAAUCUAUUGUACAUUGUAAUAAACUUUUUCUUAAAAAUUAUA